rnacentral:rRNA from 1 species
AGCGAACGCUGGCGGCAGGCUUAACACAUGCAAGUCGAGGGGUAUAUAGGAGCUUGCUUUUAUAGAGACCGGCAAACGGGUGCGGAACACGUACGCAAUCUGCCCUUAUCUUGGGGAUAGCCCAUAGAAAUGUGGAUUAAUACCCAAUAGUAUAUUUGGAUGGCAUCAUUUAAAUAUUAAAGAACUUCGGACAAGGAUGAGCGUGCGUAAGAUUAGCUAGAUGGUGAGGUAACGGCUCACCAUGGCAACGAUCUUUAGCUGAUGUGAGAGCAUGAUCAGCCACACGGGCACUGAGACAGGGGCCCGACUCCUACGGGAGGCAGCAGUGAGGAAUAUUGGUCAAUGGACGGAAGUCUGAACCAGCCAUGCCGCGUGAAGGAUGAAGGCGUUCUGCGUUGUAAACUUCUUUUAUCAGGGAAGAAACCACAGAUUUCUAUUUGUGUUGACGGUACCUGAGGAAUAAGCACCGGCUAACUCCGUGCCAGCAGCCGCCGUAAGAC